rnacentral:misc_RNA from 1 species
CGCACCUUGCGCCCGUUGGCUAUUCCGACGGGCAUGCCUGUUUGAGUGUCUUGAAAUCAUCGUGCCUUUGUUGGUAACGGACUUGGGGGCUGCUGCCGAGAGGCGGCUCCCCCGGAAUGCAUGGCUUAUGCGGCGUUGUAACUCCUCGCUGUCGGAAAGCCGUCUCCCGAGACGACCCAUCUUAUGAAAUCUGACCUCAAAUCAGGUAGGACUACCCGCUGAACUUAA